UGUGAGGUGGGAAGUUUGGGCACAGGUGCUUGGGGUUAUUCUCAACAAAAUAAGGGGCACAGACAGCCUCUGUCCCUUGGCUUCUUUCUCUGCCAGAGGAUGUCCUGGUAUGAGUGCUUCCAGCUGAGGCCAGAGACCACCGAUCUGUUGGCUGCUGGUGAUUUGACAUUUUCUCCUCAAAGGCUCCCCAGUGAAGGAGGCAAGCUGCCUGCAAGGCUGAAAGGUACCCGUGAGGGCCCAGCUGGGCAGUGUGGGCAGAGGGCUCUGGGUCCAUCCAGGCCCCGGGUAGAGUGGAGGCCAGGGCUGGUCUGCAGCGCUGGCUGAGGAGGAACCCCUCCCCUAGGGCCAUCAGGUAGGGUGUGGGUGAGGGAAGGAGAGAGCCCUGGCAGGAAGCCGGUGGAGACCAGGCUGGGAAGCACUAGUUUCCUCUUGGCUGGACUGCAGGAAACCCAGCCCCUGCUUCCCAAGCUGCUUCCUGAAGAUAAGGUGGCCUUGAUGGUCUCUUCCUGUUCCCGACUCCCUCCACCCUGCCCUAGCCCCCAGGGGACCCUCAGCUGCACCUCUGGCCAGGCCAGUAGCCUUGGGAGGGGCUAUGGGGGGCUUAACUUCCUGGCCAGAGGGUGCACACAGGCCUGAGGCCAGGCUGGCCCAGACCCACAGACAGCGUGGCCUGAGACGCAGCUCCAGCAGCUCCAGAUCCGCCGCAGCUGCCCUCCCCGGUGGUCCGCUACUUCGCCCGCAGCCAAAGGCGGGGCGGCCCCCGCGCCCCUCGGCACCCCCGCCCCGCGCCUGCGGCCGCCCGGCCGCCACCCCC
rnacentral:lncRNA from 1 species